rnacentral:rRNA from 1 species
AUCAACGCUGGCGGCGCGCUUAACACAUGCAAGUCGCACGAGAAAGGCGGGAGCAAUCUCGCAAGUACAGUGGCGUACGGGUGAGUAACACGUGGGUGAUCUACCCUUUAGUGGGGAAUAACGCUGGGAAACCGGCGCUUAAUACCGCAUAAGCUCGAGAGAGGAAAGCAGCAAUGCGCUGAAGGAGGAGCCCGCGGCCGAUUAGCUGGUUGGGAGGGUAAAAGCCUACCAAGGCAAAGAUCGGUAGCCGGCCUGAGAGGGCACACGGCCACACUGGCACUGAAACACGGGCCAGACUCCUACGGGAGGCAGCAGUGGGGAAUCUUGCACAAUGGGGGAAACCCUGAUGCAGCGACGCCGCGUGAGCGAUGAGGCCCUUCGGGGUGUAAAGCUCUUUCGGCAGGGACGAUAAUGACAGUACCUGCAGAAGCAGCUGCGGCCUAACUACGUGCCAGCAGCCGCGGUAAUACGUAGGCAGCGAGCGUUGUUCGGAGUUUACUGGGCGUAAAGGGUGUGUAGGCGGUUUUUUAAGUUUGGUGUGAAAUCUCCCGGCUCAACCGGGAGGGUUGCGCCGAAAAACUGGGAGACUAGAGUGCGGGAUGGGAGAGUAGAAUUCCUGGUGUAGCGGUGAAAUGCGUAGAUAUCAGGAGGAAUACCGGUGGUGUAGACGGCUCUCUGGACCGCCACUGACGCUGAGACACGAAAAGCGUGGGUAGCAAACAGGAUUAGAUACCCUGGUAGUCCACGCCCCUAAACGAUGCAUAUUUGGUGUAGGUCAUUCAGUUGAUCUGUGCCGGAGCUAAACGCGUUAAAUAUGCCGCCUGGGGAGUACAGUCGCAAGGCUGAAACUCAAAGGAAUUGACGGGGGGCCCGCACAAGCGGUGGAGCAUGUGGUUCAAUUCGACGCAACGCGAAGAACCUUACCUGGGCUCGAACGGCUUCCCAACGGCGGUGGAAACACCGUUACUCCGCAAGGGGGUGGAGCCGAGGUGCUGCAUGGCUUGUCGUCAGCUCGUGUCGUGAGAUGUUGGGUUUAAGUCCCGCAACGAGCGCAAACCCUUGUCCUGUGUUGCCAUCCAGUCAAGGUGGGGACUCGCAGGAGACCGCCAGCGAUAAGCUGGAGGAAGGGUGGGGAUGACGUCAAGUCCUCAUGGCCUUUAUGUCCAGGGCUACACACGUGCUACAAUGGGCGGUACAAAGCGCCGCUAACGCCGCGAGGGGGAGCCAAUCGCAAAAAAAACCGGCUCUCAGUUCGGAUUGCAGGCUGCAACUCGCCUGCAUGAAGCUGGAAUCGCUAGUAAUGGCAGUAUCAGCAACGCUGGCCGUGAAUACGUUUCCCGGGCCUUGUACACACCGCCCGUCACAUCACGAAAGUGGAUUGUACUAGAAGUCUGCAGCGCUGACCCGCAAGGGGGCAGCGGCCCAAGGUAUGAUUCAUGAUUGGGGUG